rnacentral:rRNA from 1 species
GACGAACGCUGGCGGCGUGCUUAACACAUGCAAGUCGAACGGAAAGGCCUUUUCGGAGGUACUCGAGUGGCGAACGGGUGAGUAACACGUGGGUGAUCUGCCCUGCACUCUGGGAUAAGCCUGGGAAACUGGGUCUAAUACCGGAUAGGACCGCACUUUAGUGUGUGUGGUGGAAAGUUUUUUCGGUGUAGGAUGAGCCCGCGGCCUAUCAGCUUGUUGGUGGGGUAAUGGCCUACCAAGGCGGCGACGGGUAGCCGGACUGAGAGGUUGGUCGGCCACAUUGGGACUGAGAGACGGCCCAGACUCCUACGGGAGGCAGCAGUGGGGAAUAUUGCACAAUGGGCGCAAGCCUGAUGCAGCGACGCCGCGGGGGGGAUGACGGCCUUCGGGUUGUAAACUCCUUUCGCCAGGGACGAAGCGUUUUGUGACGGUACCUGGAGAAGAAGCACCGGCUAACUACGUG